GAAGUUUGAAACUCAAGGCGCAGAAUAUACUCCUUCCCCAAUAUUUCUGCAGCUAUUUUAUUGGGACCAAUAAUUUAUGCAAAUAUAAGGCUGAACAGUUGGGCUCCUCUGGGAGCUUUCCACUGUGUUGGUGCUAGUUUGGAUCGUAAAUGUGCGUGCGCGCGCCCGCGCCCGCGCGCGCGCGGAAAAACCGGGUAUUUCCCUGAAAGAGUUGAGUUGACACCAAGAGGUCACUCCCCUGAGGAGACGGCUACAGGGCGGUGAUUCGCCUCCGGGAUGGUGGCGGCGAUUCCGUGCACCCUCCUGCUGUUGGACAUCAGUUAUAUUUCAGGCUUUCAAAGUAAACGACGAACUCAGCACUUUGGCAGAGUCCAAAAUCCGCCAGCGAACUUGGGUGCUAGAGAGUUCGGCGGGAAGAAAAGCGCCCGGGCUGCGCCGACCGCCGGCCCCAAGCCGCCGCGGGCCCCGAGGAGUCGGCCGAGCUGCUCCCGCGCCCUAGCCGGUGUAAGCCUCAUGUAUGAGUCAUGGAUGAAAAAUCAAGGACAGAAGAGCCCGUGGGUCCACAAUCACACUUUUCCUGGGGACUGCAGGAGCUGCCUGGGACACCCUCUCCUUUCAGAAGAUGUGUCCCUAACACAGAGGGUGCCCAUGUUGCAGUCAGGCUUCCCAUGUCUAGCCACAGAUGACAUCUUCAUGUCUAUCAGGCUCCUCC
rnacentral:lncRNA from 1 species